rnacentral:rRNA from 1 species
GAUCCUGGCUUAGGAUGAACGCUAGCUACAGGCUUAACACAUGCAAGUCGAGGGCAGCAUGUUGGUUGCUGCAACCAAUGAUGGCGACCGGCGCACGGGUGAGUAACGCGUAUCCAACCUUCCCUAUAGUAGAGGAUAGCCCGGCGAAAGUCGGAUUAAUACUCUAUGUUUUCCAAUGCAGACAUCUAAAAUGGAACAAAGGUUUACCGCUAUAGGAUGGGGGAUGCGUCUGAUUAGAUGGUAGGCGGGGUAAUGGCCCACCUAGUCGACGAUCAGUAGGGGUUCUGAGAGGAAGGUCCCCCACAUUGGAACUGAGACACGGUCCAAACUCCUACGGGAGGCAGCAGUGAGGAAUAUUGGUCAAUGGGCGAGAGCCUGAACCAGCCAAGUAGCGUGCAGGAUGACGGCCCUAUGGGUUGUAAACUGCUUUUAUACAGGGAUAAAGUGACGUACGUGUACGUUUUUGUAGGUACUGUAUGAAUAAGGACCGGCUAAUUCCGUGCCAGCCGCCGC